rnacentral:rRNA from 1 species
GUGGGGAAUAUUGGACAAUGGGCGAAAGCCUGAUCCAGCCAUGCCGCGUGUGUGAAGAAGGUCUUCGGAUUGUAAAGCACUUUAAGUUGGGAGGAAGGGCAGUAAGUUAAUACCUUGCUGUUUUGACGUUACCAACAGAAUAAGCACCGGCUAACUUCGUGCCAGCAGCCGCGGUAAUACGAAGGGUGCAAGCGUUAAUCGGAAUUACUGGGCGUAACGCGCGCGUAGGUGGUUUUGUAAGUUGGAGGUGUAAUCCCCGGGCUCAACCUGGGAACUGCCUCCAAAACUGCAUGACUAGAGUACGGUAGAGGGUAGUGGAAUUUCCUGUAUAGCGGUGAAAUGCGUAGAUAUAGGAAGGAACACCAGUGGCGAAGGCGACUACCUGGACUGAUACUGACACUGAGGUGCGAAAGCGUGGGGAGCAAACAGGAUUAGAAACCCUAGUAGUCC